AGGAAGGUAUAUGCAUUGUAACCCGAGUUGGUCCCAUGUAAAACAAAACAAAAGAGAGGAUAAGAUGACAACUACAAAGGCUUCUUCAAAUAUGCUUGUAUACCAAACAGCCAAAAACGAAAAUAUAACACUGAGAAAAUGGAAGUGUAAAUAACAUUUUUUCUUUUAAAAAGACACAAAAGGAAACAUCAUUUAUUCAUGUAUGGAAAUUACAAUGUAUGUAAUCAAAGACUCACAUAUUACAAAUUGUUAUCAAGGUAAAACGUCCAUUGUAUCAAAAGAAAUUGGGAGAUUUCAAAUAUAAGAGGAAAGAGAUGCGUGAUCAAGUACAACUGAGAAGUAAGCAUCUUCUGUUAAUGAUCCCAUGUAAUUUUUA